rnacentral:rRNA from 1 species
AUUGAACGCUGGCGGCAGGCCUAACACAUGCAAGUCGAGCGAGCGGCGGACGGGUGAGUAAUGUCUGGGAAACUGCCUGAUGGAGGGGGAUAACAACUGGAAACAGUAUCUAAUACCGCAUACCCUCAGAUGUGCCCAGAUGGGAUUAGCUAGUAGGGGGGGUAAUGGCUCACCUAGGCGACGAUCCCUAUCUGGUCUGUGAGGAUGACCCGCCACACUGGAACUGAGACACGGUCAAGACUCCUACGGGAGGAAGCAGUGGGGAAGAUUGCACAAUGGGCGCAAGCCUGAUGCAGCCAUGCCGCGUGUUUGAAGAAGGCCUUCGGGUUGUAAAGCACUUUCAGCGGGGAGGCGUUACCCGCAGAAGAAGCACCGGCUAACUCCGUGCCAGCAGCCGCGGUAAUAC